rnacentral:rRNA from 1 species
GACGAACGCUGGCGGCGUGCUUAACACAUGCAAGUCGAACGGAAAGGCCCUGCUUUUGUGGGGUGCUCGAGUGGCGAACGGGUGAGUAACACGUGAGUAACCUGCCCUUGACUUUGGGAUAACUUCAGGAAACUGGGGCUAAUACCGGAUAGGAGCUCCUGCUGCAUGGUGGGGGUUGGAAAGUUUCGGAGGUUGGGGAUGGACUCGCGGCUUAUCAGCUUGUUGGUGGGGUAGUGGCUUACCAAGGCUUUGACGGGUAGCCGGCCUGAGAGGGUGACCGGCCACAUUGGGACUGAGAUACGGCCCAGACUCCUACGGGAGGCAGCAGUGGGGAAUAUUGCACAAUGGGCGGAAGCCUGAUGCAGCAACGCCGCGUGCGGGAUGACGGCCUUCGGGUUGUAAACCGCUUUCGCCUGUGACGAAGCGUGAGUGACGGUAAUGGGUAAAGAAGCACCGGCUAACUACGUGC